rnacentral:rRNA from 1 species
UACGAAGGGGGCUAGCGUUGUUCGGAAUCACUGGGCGUAAAGCGUACGUAGGCGGACCGUUAAGUCGGGGGUGAAAUCCCAGGGCUCAACCCUGGAACUGCCUUCGAUACUGGCGGUCUGGAGUCCGGGAGAGGUGAGUGGAACUCCUAGUGUAGAGGUGAAAUUCGUAGAUAUUAGGAAGAACACCAGUGGCGAAGGCGGCUCACUGGCCCGGUACUGACGCUGAGGUACGAAGGCGUGGGGAGCAAACAGG